AGAGUUUGAUCAUGGCUCAGAACGAACGCUGGCGGCAGGCCUAACACAUGCAAGUCGGACGAGAAGGUUCCUUCGGGAACUGGAGAGUGGCGCACGGGUGAGUAACGCGUGGGGACCUACCUCUUAGUGGGGGAUAACGGUUGGAAACGACCGCUAAUACCGCAUACGCCCUUCGGGGGAAAGAUUUAUCGCUAAGAGAUGGACCCGCGUUGGAUUAGAUAGUUGGUGAGGUAACGGCUCACCAAGUCAGCGAUCCAUAGCUGGUUUGAGAGGAUGAUCAGCCACACUGGGACUGAGACACGGCCCAGACUCCUACGGGAGGCAGCAGUGGGGAAUAUUGGACAAUGGGGGCAACCCUGAUCCAGCCAUGCCGCGUGAGUGAAGAAGGCCUUCGGGUUGUAAAGCUCUUUCAGAUGCGAAGAUGAUGACGGUAACAUCAGAAGAAGCCCCGGCUAAUUUCGUGCCAGCAGCCGCGGUAAUACGAAAGGGGCUAGCGUUGUUCGGAUUUACUGGGCGUAAAGGGCACGCAGGCGGUCUUGCCAGUCAGGGGUGAAAGCCCGGGGCUCAACCCCGGAACUGCCUCUGAUACUGCAGACUAGAGACUAGGAGAGGGUGGUGGAAUUCCCAGUGUA
rnacentral:rRNA from 1 species